UACGAGGGGUGCAAGCGUUGCUCGGAAUUAUUGGGCGUAAAGGGUAGGUAGGUGGUCUCAUUUGUCCGGGGUGAAAGCCUUGAGCUUAACUCAAGAAGUGCCUCGGAAACGGUGAGACUAGAGUCUUGGAGAGGGUCGUGGAAUUCCUGGUGUAGCGGUGGAAUGCGCAGAUAUCAGGAGGAACACCGGUGGCGAAGGCGGGUCUCUGGGCAGUAACUGACGCUGGAGGAGCGAAAGCGUGGGGAGCGAACAGG
rnacentral:rRNA from 1 species